UAUGUGAUCGUCUCUCGCAUAUCAAUAAGCGGAGGAAAAGAAACUAACAAGGAUUCCCCUAGUAACGGCGAGUGAAGCGGGAAGAGCUCAAAUUUGAAAUCUUAAAGGGUUUCCCUUUACGAAUUGUAGUUUAAAGAAGUGUUUUCUGUUGAGGUUUUGGUAAAAGUUCUUUGGAAUAGGACAUCAUAGAGGGUGAGAAUCCCGUAUUUGACCUUUACUUUCAACUUUGUGAUACACUUUCAAAGAGUCGGAUUGUUUGGGAAUGCAGUCCAAAAUGGGUGGUAAAUUUCGUCUAAAGCUAAAUAUUGGCGAGAGACCGAUAGCGAACAAGUACCGCGAGGGAAAGACGAAAAGAACUUUGAAAAGAGAGUUAAACAGUACGUGAAAUUGUCAAAAGGGAAGCGUUUGACACCAGUGUUGUUUUUCUGAAAAUCAAUUAAAGAACUGUUUAUGCUAAGCUGUUUAGACUUUAUCAGCUAACUGUUUAGUUUUGAGCUUUUCUUUAAUGCACUUUUCAGUUAACAAGUCAACAUCAAUUUCUUUUGCUGUAAAAAAGCUUGAGGAAGGUGGCUUGAGAUUCGUCUUAAGUGUUUAUAGCCUCUUGCCUAUGCAGUCGGAGAGAUUGAGGUCUGCAGCGUAGAUCCUUCGGGGCUAAAUGCAUUUGUGCUAAGUUAUAGCAUUUUAUAGACAACUUGUUGACUAUGAUUUGUCUUGUAGCUAACUCGCUUAUGUUAUUUUACCUACGCUUAGGAUGUUGAUAUCGCGCUCUCACUG
rnacentral:rRNA from 1 species